GAUGUGGAUGAAGCUGCGAAGGAAACCCCCUCCAACACUGAUGCAGGAUUCCGCCACCAUGUGAGUGACAACAGUACGUGGUCUGGGACCCUAACCACACGGUCCAUGCUGUGUCCCUUGGGGAUGUAGACCGACGCCAGCCAUGCCUGUUGAGGCCUGAGGCAAAUCCACGUGUGCCGGACCACGUACAGCACAGGCAGUGGCACAGCAGAAUUCUUCAGACUGCUCCAGCAGUAUGCUUCAAUCUUCCCCUGCAAAGACUACUCCUCAAGUGUACACUGUUUGAAAAAAAGCCAC